rnacentral:rRNA from 1 species
AUUCCAGCUCCAAUAGCGUAUAUUAAAGUUGUUGCAGUUAGAACGCUCGUAGUCGGAUUUCGGGGCGGUCCGACCGGUCUGCCGAUGGGUACGCACUGGUCGGAGCGUCCUUCCUGCCGGAGACCGUGCCUACUCUUAACUGAGCGGGGGCGGGAGACGGCACUUUUACUUUGAAAAAAUCAGAGUGUUUCAAGCAGGCAGCUCGCUCUUGCAUGGAUUAGCAUGGGAUAAUGAAAUAGGACUUUGGUGCUAUUUUGUUGGUUUCGAACACCGAAGUAAUGAUGAGAAGGGACAGUCAGGGGCACUCGUAUUCCGCAGAGAGAGGUGAAAUUCUCAGACCCGCGGAAGACGAACCACUGCGAAAGCAUUUGCCAGGGAUGUUUUCAUCG